GAUGAACGCUGGCGGCGUGCCUAAUACAUGCAAGUCGAGCGAACGGACGAGAAGCUUGCUUCUCUGAUGUUAGCGGCGGACGGGUGAGUAACACGUGGAUAACCUACCUAUAAGACUGGGAUAACUUCGGGAAACCGGAGCUAAUACCGGAUAAUAUUUUGAACCGCAUGGUUCAAAAGUGAAAGACGGUCUUGCUGUCACUUAUAGAUGGAUCCGCGCUGCAUUAGCUAGUUGGUAAGGUAACGGCUUACCAAGGCAACGAUGCAUAGCCGACCUGAGAGGGUGAUCGGCCACACUGGAACUGAGACACGGUCCAGACUCCUACGGGAGGCAGCAGUAGGGAAUCUUCCGCAAUGGGCGAAAGCCUGACGGAGCAACGCCGCGUGAGUGAUGAAGGUCUUCGGAUCGUAAAACUCUGUUAUUAGGGAAGAACAUUUGUGUAAGUAACUGUGCACAUCUUGACGGUACCUAAUCAGAAAGCCACGGCUAACUACGUG
rnacentral:rRNA from 1 species